AUCGCUUCUCGGCCUUUUGGCUAAGACCAAGUGUAGUAUCUGUUCUUAUCAGUUUAAAAAAAGCUUCCUACAUCCACACCAUACCUGACCCUGUUAUAGAAUGGCUAUUUGUA
rnacentral:snRNA from 1 species